AAUUAAGUGAUCAUGAAUAAUAUUUUUAAAGAGGAAAUUUGCAAUAAAAUGUGUAAAAUAUAUUCCAAGUGAGAACAGCUGCUACACGUUUCAAGUUUAAAUUGAAGAGAAUGAAACGAAAUGUACAAAAUUUGUUUGCAUUAAUGUAACAUGCCAUGUUAGAUCAAAAAUCACAAAGUGCAAAUGGAAGAUUUUGAGAUGUUACGUUAAUAUAUCGUGUAAUGUCCAUGGGUGUGUCACUGGGGGUCCCGGGCCUUGUCGAUUAGGCCGGCUGCAGUCGGGAAGAAACUGUGCAGUGAUAGCUCCCAGUGGUGAAAAGUACAUUUAAGUACAAAUGCAAAUUAACUUUUAGUCAAAUUUUUACAUACUCUUACUUCAGUUGAGUGAGCUACUUGUUCCACCACUACAGUACCGAGUGAAAUAUUGCACUUUUUACCCCAAUACAUUUAUUUGAGAGUUGAAGUUACUGGUUACUCAGAUUAAGAUUUUAAUAAAUGGUGCGUUAUUAUAGGUGAAACUACCUAGGAUAAAGUAGGUGUUGGGUGUAGGUAAUGGGGUGCUCAUCCUAUGGCCUGACUAACUGGUUGGUUAGAUUAGAUAAAACAUAGAUUAAUAAAAUGCCUACUUAAUAAGUAUUAUUGGCUGCUUCAAUCAUAUCGCACUACAGUGGACCUGCUGUGAGCCAUUAAAAGGCAGUAAAGACAGGCAGGAUGCACCCGUGGGAAACAGAGAGGUUUCACUAAAUAACUGACUGUUAUAUUGCUGCUGUUUUUCUCUUCUCUUGUGUUGUGGUGCUGCACUGAGACUUCCGGUAAAGCAUCCUUUAAUUUGUGUUUGUCUAUUUCGACCUGGCUAUAGUUUUUCUCCCUCUGUGUGUGUCCGUGAAGAAGGUGCUGCACAUUUUACACCUUGCACCUUUUCCUCUUCCUCUGCAGUUGUCAGUCUGUGGUGAUAAAGCAGAACAAAAUCUCUGUGUGGUCCUGGAGUCAAUAAGGAGUUUGACUAUUUAGUGCCUAAAAAGGGCCACAUCUCCUUAAAAUGUCAUGCUCAAUUUCCCUCCCACGAUCAUCUGUUGGCAUUCUGGACUCUUAUUGAACCAGCAACAUCUAGGAUGGUACGGACUACAAGGGUCAGUGAAGCCCCUGCCGAUGAAGGGGAAGAAGAGAGUUUUAGCAGAUCAACAAAACUGGUCCCCAUAGAUGAAUUUUUCUUGUUUUUGAACUACCUGUCAACUGGAUGGAGCCAGAGGGAACUUGGUCAAUGUUUUAACAUCUACCAGACAACAGUCAGUGCACAGCUGAGCAGGUGAAAGCUUAUCUUCCCCUGGAGUUUAUGGACUACGCAGACACCCAGCCUUGACUUGAGGGGAAUACUUCUACAACUGCAAUCAGCGGUAAACAUAGAGGAGGCUGCACCCAUGUCCUACAACAUAAAUGUCAUUCGUUCAAGUGUGUUGGUCAGUGCUUUGAGGGCUUUCAGGCAACAGGCCUUUGAUCCAUGCAGGCAGCUAGACAUUGUCUUUGUGGAUGCAUGUUGAGAUGGGGAGGACUCCGUUGAUAAUGGUGGCCCUUCCCAUGAGUUCUUUAAGCUCCUCAUGCAAUCCAUCCUUGAUUCGCAAUAUUUUGUGGGACCCCAGGAUUGCAAGAACCUUGCUCUGGAUGCCAUGGGGCUAACCAGGGGAACCUAUAGACUGCUGGGUAUGAUGCUAUCUGUCUGCCUUGUCCAUGGAGGGGUUGGGCCCCGUGUGCUGUCCAAACGACUUUUUGCACAGCUGUCAGGGCUCCCCACUUCCCCAGGGGACAUAACCGAAGUAGAUGACAUAGAGCUGUGUGAACAACUAGACAAGAUUCUAAAGGCAGAGUCAGUGACAGAGGCCUGCACAGCAAUUUUGGAGGUGUGCAACAGCCUAAACAUGCUUGGUGCCUUGACCGGCAUCACAAGCCUAGAGGACAGAGAUGAACUUUUCCAGUCAGCAACGCAAUUUUAUGUGGAAGGAAGAUGUGGAGGCAGUUCUCAAACAGUCGACCUUUUCAGCUGAAGGAAGGAUUGGAGACAUUGGGAGUAAAAAAUACCCUAGAAGCCCACUUUGGUCUGCUGGAGGACCUGUUUUUGCAGUGGAGCCCCAACCUUGUCUGCUGCUUCCUUAAUUGAACUCUUCAGGGUCCGGUACUCACCAAGAGGAAGCAGCAGGAGGGCAUUAGAGGAGUCAGCAGUUGGCCACUGGCACGACUGGUUGAUUGAUGUGAAAGGUGGAGAUGCUGCCAUUGAGGAAGAGGGAGGGGAAAGUCUGACCUUGUCCUUGGAGGAAGUACUGGUGUUUGCCUCUGGGGCAUCCGCCAUCCCACCAUUUGGUUUUAGGGAGACUCCAUGCAUAGAAUUCCUACAUAGUACCCUGAAUGGUUGGAGGUGGGUGUACCCGGAUGCAAACACCUGUGCGAUCAUCCUGAAUCUCCCCCUCCAGAGCAACUAUGAAGACUUUGGACGCCACAUGUUACUAGGCGUAAUUCAAUCACCAACAUUCGGGGUUGCUUAAGUUUUUUUUUUUGUUGUUGUAUUACAUUUCCUUUUUCACAAAUCAUUACAGAAUGGUCAUAUGUUGUGUAUAGUUGUAGUACCUGUUGUUCACUGUUCACAUACAGGAACUUGCAUUUCUGUCUGUGCAUUUUAUGGGGAAGGAGGUGCUCAUCCAUGUAACCCACAAUUUACCCUGUGUUUUAUAGGGUUUUUGGGUUUAACAGUUUAAUUAGAUUCUGUUGUGGACUGUAGCUCAUUCCUGGAGUUUUAAUGAUGUGAGCGUUUAGUAGGCAGCAAGGGUCAAACAAAAGAUGUUAUUGUGUUGCAUUGUGGGAAGUGUAGGAUCCAGUGUUUUUGGAGCUUGACCUAUACUAUGCACUAAAUUCAUUUUAACCACUUUAUGGCAGUGCAAUGUUUAACUGCUAGAGUACCCCUAUAAUAUGGAUACGUAUUGUUAUAUAUUGUGGUAUGGCAAAUGUAUGUAAAACCACAUAUAAAAUAAUGGCCCAUAUUUGUCAUUUACAGACCAAAACUUCUAUAACUAAUUUUGUUAAUUUUUUUUAAGGGUUACAGAUUUAGUUUUAUGCAUCAAAACUGGUGUACUUGUCAAUGUACACCAAUCAGUCCGUGAAAACAGUUGCAUAAUGUCAUCAGCUUGAAGAGAACAGAUUUGUUUGCUUGUAUUACAAACUGGAGGUGUGGAGUUGUACAAGGCACAGAGGGUCUAACAAAAAGAUGCUCUAAAUUUACAUUUUGAGAAAUGCAGGAUCUAGUAUUUUUAGAGUUUGAAUUGUGCUGUUACAACAACUUUGCCCAUUCUUCCCAUCUCAUAACCCUACUUCUUAUUUUAUCAGUGAGGGCCAGGUUUAGUAAUGGUGAAAUCAGCAUGAGGUUACUGCUGCUGUGACCAGUGGAGGAUUGAGGCAGCUUAUUAUCUGUGUGUGGGUAUGUAUUUGUGCGUGUUCCCUCUCUACUUGUGGAAGUCCUGCAGGAAAUGCUGCUGCUUAAAGUUCAUUUUGUAAUAGAAAUA